UACGUAGGGGGCAAGCGUUGUCCGGAUUUACUGGGCGUAAAGCGCGCGUAGGCGGAGCGUUAAGUCCGGUCUGAAAGCCCCCGGCUCAACCGGGGAGGGUGGCUGGAAACUGGCGUUCUUGAGGGCGAGAGAGGAGGGUGGAAUUCCACGUGUAGCGGUGAAAUGCGUAGAGAUGUGGAGGAACACCAGUGGCGAAGGCGACUUUCUGGCCUAUAACUGACGCUGGAGGCGCGAAAGCGUGGGGAGCAAACAGG
rnacentral:rRNA from 1 species